UGGGGAAUUUUGGACAAUGGGCGAAAGCCUGAUCCAGCAAUGCCGCGUGUGUGAAGAAGGCCUUCGGGUUGUAAAGCACUUUUGUCCGGAAAGAAAUGGCUCUGGUUAAUACCUGGGGUCGAUGACGGUACCGGAAGAAUAAGGACCGGCUAACUACGUGCCAGCAGCCGCGGUAAUACGUAGGGUCCAAGCGUUAAUCGGAAUUACUGGGCGUAAAGCGUGCGCAGGCGGUUGUGCAAGACCGAUGUGAAAUCCCCGAGCUUAACUUGGGAAUUGCAUUGGUGACUGCACGGCUAGAGUGUGUCAGAGGGGGGUAGAAUUCCACGUGUAGCAGUGAAAUGCGUAGAGAUGUGGAGGAAUACCGAUGGCGAAGGCAGCCCCCUGGGAUAACACUGACGCUCAUGCACGAAAGCGUGGGGAGCAAACAGGAUUAGAUACCCUGGUAGUCCACGCCCUAAAACGAUGUCAACUAGUUGUUGGGGAUUCAUUUCCUUAGUAACGUAGCU
rnacentral:rRNA from 1 species